UGUAGCUUAGUGGUAGAGUGCUUGCCUAGCAUGCAUGAGGCCUGGGUUCAAGCCCCAGUA
rnacentral:tRNA from 1 species